CCUCAUGUAGUUAUAUUGAUGAUUGCUUCUUAGUAGCAAUGCUACAUUCAUAAUAUUUGGCAUGCCUUAUAAAUCAGCAUGUUGUGAGAGAUAAAAAAGAGAAAGAUGGGAGAGGGCAUGCAUUGCAGGCUAUAUAUGCCUAAUAUGUUAUAUGAAGAGAAACUGAAAAAACAGUCUCCCUGCAAGAGAAACGUAGAUUGCUACAGUACUUUGACUUAAUGCAAAUUUCACCUAACGAAUUCAUGCUUACAUUUUUAAACAGUAUGCACCUAGCAGAUAAACUCAAUCACAUAAAAUAAUUUGGCAUUUACUUGCUUUUCUAUUUAUUAUAAUUGCAGUCAUUAGUAGCAUAGUGGGACAUUAACAACCCCCCAAGGCCCCAACCCCCACCCACCCACACACCCGAGAAGACAAAAAGAUAGGAUAAUCCAUUAAUGAGUAGAAACUUAAGCUUUUAAGUUUUAAGCAACCCAACGCCAUAUGUGACCCUUCAUAUGAAGUAUGAACAAUAAACAGUUUUGGGCAUCAAACUGAACAUUUUCAGUUUCUCCAUGUAAUUAGAAAGAUCACAGUCUGUUUAGAGUACAAAUAUCACCUGAUUAAAGCGCAUAUCAUAAGAAAUAUCAGGUAUAAGUUUUAAGUGUACUAAUAACUAGACUAGACACCGCUAGAGCUUUUGCAGAAAACAAGUACAUACUAUUUGAUUCGCCCUCAACGAGAAUAUCUGGUCACGAAACUCUGCACGAAAUACCCUAAAUCCAAAGAACAUGCAUAAAGAAGUAUUUAGGCAUGUUAAUGUGGAGCAUUUUUAUCUUUCAAAGGGAGAGGGAAAACAAACUAAUAUCGAUACAUAAAACAUAAAUUAAACCACAUAUAUGCAGAGAAUCUGAAUUUGACAAUUACGCAAACCAGUCUUCAUCUGACACUACAUCAAAUAUUAAAUAGCUUAAAGAUAAAUUGAUGAGUUAAGGUCGUGUUAAGUUCCAAACAAAAUAUAAAUUCAGAUAUACAAAAAAUGUUGGAGCUAGAAGCAGGCCUCAGAAGUUUGAUAUGACUUGAAUCAAGAAAAUCGUUAAUAUUCUUAACAAAAUCAAGGGGAAUUAAAGCAAACGAUCUACGGUUAAUCAAAGAAUAAUAAUCAAUUAUUCAUAACAUAAUUUGACAAUAUACACCAUACACAAUUGUACAGAGAGAGAGGGAGGGAGAGAGGAGAGAGAUUUGUUACCAGAAAAUCUCCAGCUUCCGAUGUGCUACACUGCUAUGUUUAGAUUACUCUUCCGCGAUGAAGUAUGCCACUACUAUACGAGUACCGGUGUCUUUUGUCACAAAAGAUGCGUUAUGUUUACGGGAUUAAAAUUUAAAAGGGUUUUACAUCGAAAAUCUCAUUCUGCCUAAAAAUCUCAUCUAUG
rnacentral:lncRNA from 1 species